rnacentral:rRNA from 1 species
UACGUAGGGUGCAAGCGUUGUCCGGAAUUAUUGGGCGUAAAGAGCUCGUAGGCGGUCUGUCGCGUCUGCUGUGAAAACUCAGGGCUUAACCCUGAGCUUGCAGUGGGUACGGGCAGACUAGAGUGCGGUAGGGGAGACUGGAAUUCCUGGUGUAGCGGUGAAAUGCGUAGAUAUCGGAAGGAACACCAGUGGCGAAAGCGGCUUCCUGGUCCAGCACCGACGUCAGGCACGAAAGCGUGGGGAGCAAACAGG